ACCCAGCGCGCUCGGGGGCGGGCCGCUCGUCCCCUCCUUCAGAGCCGGCCCUCCCCUCUGAGCCGGGAACCUGACCGGGCUUUGCUGUUAAAACACAGCCAACACAAACCUAACAAUGGGGUCUGGGCCACAGCCUGCAGGAGUCGUAACCGCCGACCGUGACAAGCUGGGGAUUGGCAUUUCUUUUUAGACAGCUGUUACUUAGAUGUGGAUUUUGACAAACCGAGACACAGUGGGAAUGUAAUCUUAGUAGCGACUGCUUUGCAGACAAUUUUUUCUUCAAAUGUUUUUCCAAAAUGCAUGCAAAAGGACAAGGACAUUCCUGGUUUUAUCUAGUUCCUCACAGCUACAGCAGUCUGUAGGUGGUUGUCUUUCCACCCUCAGCAGCAAAAGGCACAAGCUUCACCCUCCAGUUGUAGCUGAUUGCAAACAUCCUUCCUGGCCUCUCGUCUCCCAGUGAUACCCCACUCCUUGCCCCGCCUCAGCCCUCGGAGCACGGGGUUCAGGACAGGGCUUGCUCAGAGUGCUCUGCCUGUGAGUGAGGCACAGUGCGAGCUCCCUGUGCUCCCUCUGGGUCUGCUGCUCUCCAUCCUGUCAGCAGAAAAUGCCCAGGAGCUGAUGAGCACCUGCAGGUGCACACAGAGGUCCUCACUGGACGGGAGGACAGCGACAUCCUCGGGGCAGCUGGUGCCCAACAAGUCAGAGUCUAAGAAACAGGAGGAGUGGUGUAAUCCAGCAGUGCUCAUGAGAAUAACACCACCUCCUCCUUCACGAGUACAAAGUCCCGCCAGAGUCCUUGCUAGUAGAGAGGCCUUGAUGCAGCUGUACCUAGACGAGAGGAGGACAAGAACUGUGCUUGUCAGAACACCUGACAAGCUCCGCGCACAGGUAAAGCUUUCUGCCAAAAUGCCAGCUGCAAUGCCGACCUACUCUGUUGACCCAGACCACUGUGAGUCUGUUGCUGUGACAUCGCUGAACAAAAUGCCUUUCCCCAAGCAGAGAAGAUCUUGAUUCUCCUUACUUACCCUUGUGAAGUCAAGCUGCCCAGCCCCUGCUAGCCCUGCUCUAGACUUGCAGAGUAGCUGCAAGGCUUUGCUUUCCUGUGCAAGCCACCUCACACUCCCCCAAGCCCAAACGAGGGGUGAAGCAGCAGAAGGAAGAGCAGAAGACAACUACAAGUCGCUGGGGUUAAAGCAGCCAGGAGGAUCCCAAUGCAGAGGGUGAUGAUCAUACAGACCAUACCCGUGCUUCAAAGUCCUGCACAGCUCCAGAGAAGUGCCUGGAUCCAGGAGGUUUCUGGCAGCUCUCAGGCCUCUGAGGAUGAGAAGAAGGGGACAGUUUCACUGCACAGAAUUUGAGAGCCAGGUGGAGCUGAGUGGUUACUACGAAGCUGAGAACACCACCCCUUCUUUGGAGGGCUACUUUUGCUUCAACUCAGC
rnacentral:lncRNA from 1 species